rnacentral:rRNA from 1 species
GACGAACGCUGGCGGCGUGCUUAACACAUGCAAGUCGAGCGGUAAGGCCCUUUCGGGGGUACACGAGCGGCGAACGGGUGAGUAACACGUGGGUGACCUGCCCUCAGCUCUGGGAUAAGCCUGGGAAACUGGGUCUAAUACUGGAUAUGACUCCACGGUGCAUGUCGUGGGGUGGAAAGCCUUGUGCGGCUGAGGAUGGGCCCGCGGCCUAUCAGCUUGUUGGUGGGGUAAUGGCCUACCAAGGCGACGACGGGUAGCCGGCCUGAGAGGGCGACCGGCCACACUGGGACUGAGACACGGCCCAGACUCCUACGGGAGGCAGCAGUGGGGAAUAUUGCACAAUGGGCGAAAGCCUGAUGCAGCGACGCCGCGUGAGGGAUGACGGCCU